rnacentral:rRNA from 1 species
GACGAACGCUGGCGGCGUGCUUAACACAUGCAAGUCGAGCGGUAAGGCCCUUUCGGGGGUACACGAGCGGCGAACGGGUGAGUAACACGUGGGUGACCUGCCCUCAGCUCUGGGAUAAGCCUGGGAAACUAGGGUCUAAUACUGGAUAUGACUCCACGGUGCAUGUCGUGGGGUGGAAAGCCUUGUGCGGCUGAGGAUGGGCCCGCGGCCUAUCAGCUUGUUGGUGGGGNGAUGGCCUACCAAGGCGACGACGGGUAGCCGGCCUGAGAGGGCGACCGGCCACACUGGGACUGAGACACGGCCCAGACUCCUACGGGAGGCAGCAGUGGGGAAUCUUGCGCAAUGGGCGAAAGCCUGACGCAGCGACGCCGCGUGAGGGAUGA